UACGUAGGGCGCAAGCGUUAUCCGGAAUUAUUGGGCGUAAAGAGCUCGUAGGCGGUUUGUCGCGUCUGCCGUGAAAGUCCGGGGCUCAACUCCGGAUCUGCGGUGGGUACGGGCAGACUAGAGUGAUGUAGGGGAGACUGGAAUUCCCGGUGUAGCGGUGAAAUGUGUAGAGAUCGGGAGGAACACCGGUGGCGAAGGCGGCUCACUGGCUCAUUACUGACGCUCAGGCGCGACAGCGUGGGGAUCAAACAGG
rnacentral:rRNA from 1 species